AACGAACGCUGGCGGCAUGCCUAACACAUGCAAGUCGAACGAAGGCUUCGGCCUUAGUGGCGCACGGGUGCGUAACGCGUGGGAAUCUGCCCUUUGGUUCGGAAUAACAGCUGGAAACGGCUGCUAAUACCGGAUGAUGACGAAAGUCCAAAGAUUUAUCGCCAGAGGAUGAGCCCGCGUUGGAUUAGGUAGUUGGUGGGGUAAAGGCCUACCAAGCCGACGAUCCAUAGCUGGUCUGAGAGGAUGAUCAGCCACACUGGGACUGAGACACGGCCCAGACUCCUACGGGAGGCAGCGGUGGGGAAUAUUGGACAAUGGGCGCAAGCCUGAUCCAGCAAUGCCGCGUGAGUGAUGAAGGCCCUAGGGUUGUAAAGCUCUUUUACCCGGGAAGAUAAUGACUGUACCGGGAGAAUAAGCCCCGGCUAACUCCGUG
rnacentral:rRNA from 1 species